rnacentral:rRNA from 1 species
AUGCUUGAUGAGUACAAGACACCUAGAAAGUUCUGGCCUGAAGCUAUUGAUACAGAAUGUCAUGUCAUCAACCGUGUUUAUCUUCAUAAGCUUCUGAAGAAAGCAUCCUAUGAACUCCUCACUGGCAAGAAGCCAAAUGUCAGUUACUUCAGAGAAUUUGGAGCUAGGUGCUGGAUCAAGGAUCCACAUCACAAAUCAAAUUUUGCACCUAAAGCUCACGAAGGUGUCAUGCUCGGUUACGGAAAAGACUCGCACUCUUAUAGAGUCUUCAACCUCUAUCUCUAUAAAGUCGUCGAAACUGUGGACGUACGGUUCGAUGAAACCAAUGUCUCACAAAGAGAGCUCUUGCCAAAUAUGCUAGAUGAAGCUCCACCCAGUGAAUCUAUCAAGCUAAUGGGAACUGGUGAAAUCAUGCCUUCUGAAGCACAGCCUGAAGAGGAACUUAUCAUUUCUGCACCUAAUCAACCUGAAGACAAUGCUCAGCCUGAAGACAAUCCUUCCAAUGUUGAUAAUGAUCAGCAAGAGCAAAAUCUUCGUCCAGUUCAUCCUCGUAUUGCAAAUGAAGUACAGAUUGAGAAGAUAAUUGAUAGCAUAAAUGCAACUAGUCCACUCACUCGUUCAAGAGCAACAUAG